rnacentral:misc_RNA from 1 species
AAAUUGUAAGACAACAUUCUUCCCCAAUGAACCGUUUAUUUUAUUGAUGGUCACGGGUGACCACCGUGGCGCCUUGGUAACAGUUGAUAGCGACAUAUUAUAACAAGGCUUCGUUUAUUUCAACAAACCAUUCGCAUUCGUUAUUUCGUCGUAAGCAAAACAUCCAGAAUAUAUUGUUGAAACGUGUAGAAGAUAUUAGUAAACGGUAUUUGCUCAUUGUAUAUAUAAUAGUAAGGUAUGUUCACACUUCUAACUUCGAUUAUACGAUUAUAAAGCAGCAUUUACGAUUAUUUUCCAAGCUGUGUUUAUAAUAAUAUUCGUAGAUUACCCCUCAAAGAUAUGCAUGCAAACACAGUGCACCGUUAGAUGC